UUUUUCCCCCAGACUGAGUGAAUGCUACAAACCAGCCAACUGACACAUCUCAGUUCUUCUCUACCCUCAAAGGAAAAUCUAAAUUAAAGAUGCAGUAUCCUGUCUCCACCCUGGCCAGGAAAGCAGAUGCCAGACAGAACCUACAAACAGGAACUUGCUUCAUUAUAUUUCUUCAAACCUGAUUUAUCCUUGAAGCUAAAACCAAGCCUGAAAAAUCCAACUGGAAUUCAGAGCGAAUUUUGCCUCAGAGCACAGAAUAAACCACCAUGAUGUUCCAAUAUGCUAAUGUAUCAACAAUGAUGAAUACUUAAGGGAUUGAUUGCAUCC